UACGGAGGGUGCAAACGUUGCUCGGAAUCAUUGGGCGUAAAGCGCACGUAGGCGGCCUGACAAGUCGGGUGUGAAAGCCCUGGGCUCAACCCAGGAAGUGCACUCGAAACUGCCAGGCUUGAAUAUGGAAGAGGGUCGCGGAAUUCCCGGUGUAGAGGUGAAAUUCGUAGAUAUCAGGAGGAACACCGGUGGCGAAGGCGGGUUCUCUGGGCAUUACCUGACGCUGAGGAGCGAAAGCAUGGGGAGCGAACAGG
rnacentral:rRNA from 1 species